UACGUAGGCAGCAAGCGUUGUUCGGAAUUACUGGGCGUAAAGAGUGUGUAGGCGGUGUUCUAAGUUUGGUGUGAAAUCUCCCGGCUCAACUGGGAGGGUGCGCCGAAAACUGGAAUGCUAGAGUAUGGGAGAGGUAAGCGGAAUUCCUGGUGUAGCGGUGAAAUGCGCAGAGUAUCAGGAGGAACACCGGUGGCGAAGGCGGUUCUCUGGGAAUGUACUGACGCUGAGGAGCGGAAAGUGUGGGGAGGCGAACAGG
rnacentral:rRNA from 1 species